UGUCGACCAGAGGAAGAAGAAGGGAGAAAAACACCCAUGAAAGCACAAUGAAAAUGCAGCCAAUUGAGGGAUGAAAACUGAUGAAAAUUCAUGCAUGUCUUUGAUUUGAUCAUCUAAGAACACUAAAACAUAGGGCGUGAAGGAAGAAAGUACAAGUCAAUCCGGUUCGCAAGCAACGCAAACCAAAAGUAAAUUGCAUGCUUAGGAAUGACGAGCUUGGGACGAACACACCUCAUUGCCCUCUAUGCGCUUCUCGUUAUGUUUAAUGUCAAAAUGGUCAAAACUCUUUUUGGGUUGUAAAUUUCAAUUUUAUACUUAAUGUCUUUUAUAAGUAAGUUAAAUUGGUAAG